AAAAUCCCCAGUCCCCUUUCUAUCUUCCCCAAUCCAUCUCUCACCCGCCCACUGACCGCCGCUGCGCCCCCGCGCCUCCCAUCUUGCUUCUCAGUUCUCACUCCACUGCUGCCCUUGUCUCGCGGUGCACGCGUCGCCGACGCCUGAGCUUCUCCUCACCGGGCCAGGUGCUGGGUUCCUCCGCGACAGAUCCAUUAUGUGCUAGCCAGGUCCAGAUCGACGACGCCGAGGGAAAAAAUAAUCCACUGCAUGCCGACCGUCUCGCGGCACCGGCGCCAGAGCUCCCACCUCCCUUCUCCUCGCCUGGAUCCACAACCGAGUUCAAGCCGCGACCGAAUCCAUCCCGCGAGGGGUACCUAACCAUUCUUGCAGAGUUCCUCAGGUACAAUACUCUGACAGAGUACCUUCUUCAGAGUGCAGAGGAGCAAAAUUGUUCUAAUCAGCAGCAGCACAACACAGCCACUUGGAUCAGCACAAGAGGAGCAUCAGCAGCACGGGCACACGAGCAACAACAGCUAGUUCUUCAGGUGCAAUGGAAAAUAAGCAAGCUUAUAUCUGAAAAAUGAGUUAGCUAGGCUCAGAAUUUUGAGUUGGCCCCUUUACAUAAGUUUUAGAUAAAGUUUCAAGGUUUCUUUAGAGUAUUUAUUUGUGUCGUUUGGAUGUACGGUUUGAGAGCAGCUAUCAGUUUAGUUUGCUGUGCCGAAAUAUAUGUUCCUGGGUACCGUAUUUCGAUAUGGGAGAUAAGGCCCUGUUAGAGGUGGUAUUAAAAUAAAGUUACAACAUGAAAAUUUUAGAGGCUGUUCUGUUGAUACUUGAAACACAUAUCACUUGUCAGGUUUCGUUCGGUAUAUUAAAUCCUAUGAAAUUAUCAAA